GAUUAACGCUGGCGGCGUGCCUAACACAUGCAAGUCGAACGAUUAAACUUCGUUGACUUCUUCGUAAAGACACUAAGCGGAUUAUUGGCGAACGGGUGAGUAACGCUUGAGUAGCCUGCCUUACACAAGAGGAUAGCCUUUGGAAACGAAGUAUAAUACCCUAUAAAACUAUCAAAGCAAAUGCUAUACUGGUCAAAGUGAUAGCGGUGUAUGAUGGACUUGCGUCUGGUUAGCUAGUUGGUGAGAUAAAAGCUCACCAAGGCAACGAUCAGUAGCCGGCUUGAGAGAGGGUACGUCCAAAUUGGGACUGGGACACGGCCCCGACGCCUACGAGAGGCAGCAGUGGGGAAUUAAGCACAAUGGGGGAAACGCAGAGGCAGCGAGUGCGCGAGAUUGAGAAGGCCGUCGGGUUGUAAAUUUCGUUUGUAUAGGAAGAAAAUGACGGUACUAGACGAAGAAGGCCCGGCUAAUUACGUG
rnacentral:rRNA from 1 species